GUGGAUUAGAUACCCUGGUAGUCCACGCCGUAAACGUUGGGCACUAGGUGUGGGUCUCAACCAACGAGAUCCGCGCCGUCGCUAACGCAUUAAGUGCCCCGCCUGGGGAGUACGGUCGCAAGACUAAAACUCAAAGGAAUUGACGGGGGCCCGCACAAGCAGCGGAGCGUGUUGCUUAAUUCGAUGCUACGCGAAGAACCUUACCUAGGUUAAAUCAUAGUGAAAAGCCACAGAGAUGUGGUGUCCUUCGGGGCGCUAUGAAGGUGGUGCAUGGUUGUCGACAACU
rnacentral:rRNA from 1 species